CAGAGGAAGAGAAUUUUUUUUAAAUUCAGCAUCAAGUCUGUCCUGGCACUUGUCUUUGUGGUGGAAUGUAAAUUUUAUGCAAGGCGAGGGAGCAGGUUUGUGCAACGCCCCACUAGUGUUUAAAAGCCAUGGAUCCUAAUUGGUAAUAAGACUGACGAUCUCUAACAGUCAGAGAUAACCCUAUAAACCUAGAGUAUUUUCCAACAUCCUUACACUCAGUGAAGGAUCCUGACAUUGAAAAAUGAACUACACUUCUUUGUCUUUUCAGGAGCUUAAACACCAGAUGUACAUGACGGUGACCAGAUCAGGAAAGACCAGAAAGGACACCAAGCAUCCUGAGCAUCUAGAGACCCUUAACGAUGGGAUUGUCAAGGAUUGAACAAGGAUUGUCAAGACACUUAAGCAUAGCAUGGAGCAUGAUCAAAAAUAAUACCAUCAUCACUAUCAUCAUCACUGAUCUUAUAGCAAAGAUACCAUUCUUUGCUAGAAAGCUGAAGCAUGGACUCUUUUGUAGCAUGGAUCCCAAGACCUUUAGUGGAUGGAGGACACCUAGACAUUAAAGACACUUCUGUCCCAAAAAUUCAUAACCUUGAGGAGACUAGUGGACGCUGCAGGACCAGAUGUCAAAGACACGAGAGAGGUGGCCAAGGAACAUGGGCUACGAUCACUGUGACACACUGAAAUCAACAUCAACAAAUGGAUUAGCAAGUUGUCAAAAGAGGAACUGCUUUUAUUAAAGGAAUACCACGAAGGAACUGAAACAUCGGAUAAAGGCGACCCUUUUCCUGAACUGGAACUUUUACCAAAGCUUGAUGGUUUUAAUGGUUUGUACCUUGAUGCAGACAAAGGACAUGUUUUACCAAUCUAUGAAGCAAAUGGAAAAGAAAUUUACAAAUGUUGUGUAAAAACUGUAAAUAAAAGAAAGCUGGAUGGAAGGAAAGACACGGUGUGGAGGGACAAGCUGGGGUUUUAGAUGACACUAAGCCAGCAUGGAGAGUGCAGGUGAUUUACAGUGGGGAAUUUUACAUGGAGCUGUGGGGGUCAAUUUUUUAAUCUCUAAGUUAAAUCCAGAUCUUUUAAAGACUUGUCCCUUCUGUACAGAAACAGAAACUGUUUUUCUUUUCUUUUUUUUUUUAAUGCAAAAGACUUAACCCGCUGUUUGAGCUGCUGAAAACACUUUUUUAAUGGAGCUGAGUAUAAAAUAAAAUAAAAGCAGAAAUGGGAACUGAUUAAUUUUAUUGUCGGAGAAGCAAAAAUGGCCAUUUACAUGAGCCGGAAAAAUAAAAUAGAGAAGAAAGGAUUUGAGUCAAAAUAGAUUUGCAUUUUUUUAAAGGAAUGAAUGAUUUGAGCUAAUUUUUAACACCCUUUUACACUAAAAACAAUAAACAUGCUGGUUUUUAA